AUUAAAGUAACAAAGGGCACACAAGGGAUGCCUAGGUAGAAAGAGCCGAAGAAGGACGUGGUAAGCUGCGAUAAGCUUGGCGAAGUUGCAAACGAACGUGGAUGCCAAGAUUUCCGAAUGGAGCAAUCUGUAAAGAGUCAUGUCUUUACACGAAAGAGGGAACCGGGUGAACUGAAACAUCUAAGUAAUCCGAGGAAAAGAAAGUAACAACGAUACCCUAAGUAGCGGCGAGCGAACGGGGUAGAGCCUAAACCGUAUUCAUGUCAAGGAUGCAGCCGUUGUGGAUACGGGGUAGCGGGAAAGAGAGAGAAAGAACUGCAAGCUAUUUCGCAGACGUAAGCAAAGGAACAAGAAAGAUCUGGAAAGGUCUACCGUAGAAGGUGAAAGUCCUGUAUUGGUAGUUUUCUUGCGCUGUAUCUCUUCUCCCAAGUAAUGUGGAACACGAGGAAUUCUGCAUGAAUCUGCGAGGACCAAAUCUCGUAAGGCUAAAUACUCUUUCUAACCGAUAGCGCAUAGUACCGUGAGGGAAAGGUGAAAAGAACCCCGGGAGGGGAGUGAAAGAGAACCUGAAAUUGUGUGCUUACAAGCGGUCAGAGCCACUUCGGUGGUGAUGGCGUGCCUUUUGGAGAAUGAUCCUGCGAGUUACGUUUCAUGGCGAGGUUAAGAAGAACGGAGCCGAAGGGAAACCGAGUCUGAAUAGGGCGCAAGAGUCGUGGAGCGUAGACGCGAAACCCGGUGAUCUAAGCCUGUCCAGGAUGAAGCUGUGGUAAGACACAGUGGAGGUCCUAACCCACCGCCGUUGAAAAGUUGGGGGAUGAGGUAGGUUUAGGGGUGAAAAGCCAAUCGAACCGGGAGAUAGCUCGUUCUCUCCGAAAUGCAUCUAGGUGCAGCCUUGCGUGUUUAAUGAUGGGGGUAGAGCACUGACUGAACUAGGGGGCAUAUAGCUUACUGAAUUCAAUCAAACUCCGAAUACCAUUAUUCAAGAGCGCAGGAGUGAGACCAUGGGAGUUAACUUCCAUCGUCGAAAGGGAAACAACCCAGACCACCGGCUAAGGUCCCAAAUCAUAUCUAAGUGGGAAAGGAGGUGGAGAUUCUUAAACAACUAGGAGGUUGGCUUAGAAGCAGCCAUUCCUUGAAAGAGUGCGUAAUAGCUCACUAGUCGAGAGUCUCUGCGCCGACAAUGUAACGGGGCUAAGAUAUGAACCGAAGCUGUGGAUGUCGUAAGACAUGGUAGGAGAGCGUUCUGUAGGCCGUCGAAGGAGGACUGAAAGGAACUCUGGAGGUAUCAGAAGUGAGAAUGCAGGAAUAAGUAGCGAGAAGGGGAGUGAGAAUCUCCCCCGCUGGAAGACCAAGGUUUUCAGGGUAAAGCUUGUCUUCCCUGA
rnacentral:rRNA from 1 species